AUGCAUCUCACAAAAGAAAAAUAAAAUAGAAAAUGAAGUGCAUCUUAUCAGUAUUGGCAGUGGUGCUGACCAUGGCGAGUGCUUAUGAAACAACACCAGAUCCUUCCCGAUGGUGCCAACUUAAUUUGGGUCCCGCUUGGGGAGGCAAAAUUUGCCAUUAGAUAUUUAUAUCUAAUAUUGUCUUGUACGGGAUUUAUUAAAUAAAUUAAAGGCAUAAAAUCACACAACAGAUCCUAUAGAU